UCGGCUCAAAAUUUCAGGGCGAGACGAUAACGCAACUAUGAUUGGACGACAAGUGUGCAGAUAGCCUUUGAGUUUCCAUUUCUUGGUAAUUCGGUUUGUGAAAUGACUAUUAAUUACAAGCACAGCAUCAUCAACGGUGAUUGCAAGAACUACUGCAAUCCCUGCGGUUUUUCCUCUUGGUAAAUGCGUUCUGGUCGUGACCAAGGGUGGUCUCCCAAAUCGGCUGGGACUAAGGCUAUUGUUGCAGAACAUAACGCCGCAACCACUGCUGUGGUAAAUAUGUUCCAGCAGAGCUGCCCACCGCCGUCGGUGUAAUGAUUUCGAUAGCUGAACAAACGCCAUCUCCUGGGCAUUCCCACAGCUUGCCGACACUAGCUAUUAUAUGACGUGUGAAUGCAACUGCGGCUUAAUUUGGUUAUUAACAGUACAAUAGUACCAUGUCAUUGGCAAAAACACUAAGGGCUGCUGGCAAAUAUAGGUUGUAAAGUUUUUGGUAUCGAUGAACUUACUCGAAGAAGACGAUGGCCGAAAACAUAUGAUGAAACAUCUUCUGGCAUGCCUUUGACAAUCGUUAAGUCAGACGGAGGCUUCACAUACGAUAUUUCACACAUGGCUGGAAUUCGUUAACGGACAGAACACACAUUUAAAAAAUAUUUAUCGAUUACGGAGGACAACCGAACUUCAGUUGGUUGGCCAGUGGCUGAAAUGGUAUUACCGAUGGCAACUAGCAACUGAAAGCUGGCAACUAAGUUGCUAUAUUGGCAAGUGCGUUUUUGUGGUUGCCGGGAAUUUUUGAUUGAGAUACUUUUUUCAACUUUUUUUUAAAUUGUUCACCUUGAACUUUAUGAAACUUAAUUCUUGCUAUUCAUAAUA